rnacentral:tRNA from 1 species
GGACCCGUAGCUCAGUUGGUUAGAGCGUACGAUUCACAUUCGUAAGGCCAGUGGUUCGAACCCACUCGGGUCCA